CCUACGGGUGGCUGCAGUGGGGAAUAUUGCACAAUGGGCGCAAGCCUGAUGCAGCCAUGCCGCGUGUGUGAAGAAGGCCUUCGGGUUGUAAAGCACUUUCAGCGAGGAGGAAGGUGGUGAGCUUAAUACGCUCAUCAAUUGACGUUACUCGCAGAAGAAGCACCGGCUAACUCCGUGCCAGCAGCCGCGGUAAUACGGAGGGUGCAAGCGUUAAUCGGAAUUACUGGGCGUAAAGCGCACGCAGGCGGUUUGUUAAGUCAGAUGUGAAAUCCCCGGGCUCAACCUGGGAACUGCAUUUGAAACUGGCAAGCUAGAGUCUCGUAGAGGGGGGUAGAAUUCCAGGUGUAGCGGUGAAAUGCGUAGAGAUCUGGAGGAAUACCGGUGGCGAAGGCGGCCCCCUGGACGAAGACUGACGCUCAGGUGCGAAAGCGUGGGGAGCAAACAGGAUUAGAUACCCCAGUAGUC
rnacentral:rRNA from 1 species